rnacentral:tRNA from 1 species
GCCGCGUUGGCGUAGUGGUAGCGCGUCUCACUUGUAUGUUACCAUACCAUGAGAAGGUCAUUCGUUCAAUCCGGGUACGUGGCA